rnacentral:rRNA from 1 species
GACGAACGCUGGCGGCGUGCCUAAUACAUGCAAGUCGAGCGGACCGAAUGGAAGCUUGCUUUCAUUCGGUUAGCGGCGGACGGGUGAGUAACACGUGGGUAACCUGCCCGUAAGACCGGGAUAACUCCGGGAAACCGGGGCUAAUACCGGAUAACACCGAAGACCGCAUGGUCUUCGGUUGAAAGGUAGCUUCGGCUACCACUUACGGAUGGGCCCGCGGCGCAUUAGCUAGUUGGUGAGGUAACGGCUCACCAAGGCGACGAUGCGUAGCCGGCCUGAGAGGGUGACCGGCCACACUGGGACUGAGACACGGCCCAGACUCCUACGGGAGGCAGCAGUAGGGAAUCUUCCGCAAUGGACGAAAGUCUGACGGAGCGACGCCGCGUGAGCGAAGAAGGGCUUCGGAUCGUAAAGCUCUGUUGUUAGGGACGAAGAAGUACCGUUCGAAUAGGGCGGUACGGUGACGGUACCUAACGAGAAAGCCCCGGCUAACUACGUG